rnacentral:rRNA from 1 species
GACGAACGCUGGCGGCGUGCUUAACACAUGCAAGUCGAACGGAAAGGCCCUGCUUUUGUGGGGUGCUCGAGUGGCGAACGGGUGAGUAACACGUGAGUAACCUGCCCUUGACUUUGGGAUAACUUCAGGAAACUGGGGCUAAUACCGGAUAGGAGCUCCUGCUGCAUGGUGGGGGUUGGAAAGUUUCGGCGGUUGGGGAUGGACGCGCGGCUUAUGAGCUUGCUGGUGGGGUAGUGGCUUACCAAGGCUUUGACGGGUAGCCGGCAUGGGAGGGUGACCGGCCACAUGGGGACUGAGAUACGGCCCAGACUCCUACGGGAGGCAACAGUGGGGAGUAUUGCACAGUGGGCGGAAGCCUGAUGCAGCAGCCUCGCGUUCGUGAUGACGGCCUGCGGGUUGUAAACCGCUUUCGCCUGUGACGAAGCGUGAGUGACGGUAAUGGGUAAAGAAGCACCGGCUAACUACGUG